GACAAGAAGUAUUGCAGAAGACCUCUAAAGGCUCCUAUCUAAAGGAGGCCUUGGUGCUGCAGCCACAGUCCUGCUCCUAUCUCACAGCUCUUGCAAAGACAGCUUGCGCUUGUUGAGAGCUGAUUGUGGUUGAUUGUACUGCUGUGAAGUUCAAGUCAACAAAAGUGUUUUUGAAGGUCAAGCUAAUGAAGAAAUCUACAGAAGCACUUCCCGUCUUAAGGAGAACAAAUCACAGCAGAGAAGGAAAGGAAAACUAACACUUAAUUAGCACUGAAAUUCAAGAACAUCUGAAUCCAGAUGAAAAGCUGUGGUCAUCUUUCUUCUCUAAAAAGAAAUGAAUCCAGACACCCUUGGACUUUGUGUUGAGCCAGUUCUGGAAGCCGGCGCUCUCUCUAAUCUUUAUUGACCUGUGACCCUUUCAUGUGUAACUCAAUUAAGUGAAUUUGGCAUUCUAACAAAGUGGCUAAGCCAAACGCUC
ensembl:lncRNA